ACGCCGUGAUGAAACACUUUUGAUGCCAUCUGAUUGCAUCCGUGUGGAAAUCCAGAGGCUGUUUCUGAGCGA
rnacentral:snoRNA from 1 species